UACGUAGGCAGCGAGCGUUGUUCGGAAUUACUGGGCGUAAAGAGUGUGUAGGCGGUGUUCCCAGUCUGUUGUGAAAUCUCCCGGCUUAACUGGGAGGGUGCAGCGGAAACUAGAAUGCUAGAGGGUGGGAGAGGUAAGCGGAAUUCCUGGUGUAGCGGUGAAAUGCGUAGAUAUCAGGAGGAACACCUGUGGCGAAAGCGGCUCACUGGACCAUUACUGACGCUGAUGCUCGAAAGCUAGGGGAGCAAACAGG
rnacentral:rRNA from 1 species